ACCUACCCGACACCUCCUCUUUCCCCUUCCAGCGCCGAGCUCCUCUCCCGUGCCCUAAGCCGACGCGCCACCAUCCCUCUUCCUCCCGCGAGCAUCCGGACGCCGACGCCCUCUCUUCCUCGCACACAGACCGUAGCCGCCGGCCUCUCCUCACGCGCAGGCACCAUCUUCACCGGCGGCCUCUCCUUCCUUCCCUCGCGCGAGCACACAGCAGCCGGCGAUCCCUUCUCCUCAUCCCCGAGCCUCACCCACAGACGUCGCCGACCACCUCUACUCGACGUCGACCCCAGUGUGCCCUAGCACCGAUUGCCACCACACAGCCGCUGAUCCUCAUCUCGUCGAGUUGUGCCCUAGCGGAUUCGGACUUUGAUUCGAGUCGGGCGUCUCGACGAAAGAUUUCUGGAUUGGAUCUUCUAUUGAGGCGGGUAACAGGUAGAUGAGUCAUGGAUGCUUGGAGAGUCCCAGCUGCCAGUCCCACGACACACUCGAGGAUAGUUUUUUUUUCUGGUUUUGAUUGCUAACGCAAUUUAUGUUUUGGUUUUGUGAACUUGG